GACGAACGCUGGCGGCGUGCUUAACACAUGCAAGUCGAACGGAAAGGCCCUGCUUUUGUGGGGUGCUCGAGUGGCGAACGGGUGAGUAACACGUGAGUAACCUGCCCUUGACUUUGGGAUAACUUCAGGAAACUGGGGCUAAUACCGGAUAGGAGCUCCUGCUGCAUGGUGGGGGUUGGAAAGUUUCGGCGGUUGGGGAUGGACUCGCGGCUUAUCAGCUUGUUGGUGGGGUAGUGGCUUACCAAGGCUUUGACGGGUAGCCGGCCUGAGAGGGUGACCGGCCACAUGGGGACUGAGAUACGGCCCAGACUCCUACGGGAGGCAGCAGUGGGGAAUAUUGCACAAUGGGCGGAAGCCUGAUGCAGCAACGCCGCGUGCGGGAUGACGGCCUUCGGGUUGUAAACCGCUUUCGCCUGUGACGAAGCGUGAGUGACGGUAAUGGGUAAAGAAACACCGGCGAACUACGU
rnacentral:rRNA from 1 species